AUGCCCGGAUUCAACGAGGUGGUUCAAAAGGCGUGGAACGAGAGGGUUGACCACACUGAGCCAUACCUCAUUCUUUACCACAAGCUCAAGAAGACGGCUCUCCCCCUCUCUGAAUGGAGUAGAGGUCUUUUCUCCAAGGCUAAAAUUCACCACCAGGCCGCGCUCUUGGUGAUAUUUCGCCUCGACAUCGCCCAAGAGGAUAGGCUCCUCUCCACCGAGGAAAUUGAGCUCCGGGCCAGGCUCAAGAGAAGGCGGCGAGGAUUCCCAAGUAAAUUCAGGGAUUGGAUCACGGCCCUCCUUAGCUCUUCAUCCUCGAGGAUCAUCCUGAAUGGUAUUGCCAGCUGUCCAAUAAAGCAUGGGAAGGGGCUUCGGCAGGGAGACCCUAUUUCCCCGCUUCUCUUUGUCAUCGCCAUCGACCCGCUCCAAAAAAUCCUUGAUGUGGCAACACAUAAGGGGCUCCUCCAUAAAAUCCGGGGAAGGGGGACCAUGAUGAGGACCUCUCUCUACGCGAACGACGCGGCCGUCUUCCUGGCACCGAUCAAGCAGGAUGUUGACAACUUUGCUAGCAUUUUGAGGGGAUUUGGGGAUGUCACAGGUCUAUGCACCAAUUUCCAAAAGAGCUCGGUGGUGCCCAUUCGUUGCAACCACAUCGAUUUGGAUUCCCUAACUCAAAGCUUGCCGGCUGCGCGGGCGUCUUUUCCUUUGCGAUACUUGGGUCUCCCCCUCUCCGUGUGGAAGCUGAAAUUGGUGGACUUCCAAUUCCUCGUGGAUAAAGUGGCAAGCAAGUUGCCAACGUAUGAUGGCCGAAACAUCACCACCAUCGGGCGAACGACCCUAGUCAAGUCCGUGAUCACUUCCCAAGUGGUUUACCCCGCCACCCCUUUGGUCAUACCGCCAACCAUCCUCCACAACGUCAACAAGCUUGAACGAGCCUUCCUAUGGUCCGGCUCGGAAAAGACAUCGGGGGCCAAAUGCAAAGUGAACUGGGAGAAAGUUUGCCGGCCUCUUUCGUACGGAGGGCUUGGGGUCCUGAACACCUCCAAGUUUACGAGGGCUCUCCGGUUACGAUGGCCGUGCACAUCACAUGAAAUACAAUACAUCAUCCAUCGACUCCUCUACACACCAAGGUUCAAGGCCCAACAAGUGCACAGCAAAAUGAUUCUAAAAGUGUACAGAAAAAUAGUUCUACAUGUGCAAGUGCACAACAAAAAGAUCCAACAAGUGCACAAGCGCACAACAACAUAG
rnacentral:rRNA from 1 species